GAUGAACGCUGGCGGCGUGCCUAAUACAUGCAAGUCGAGCGAACGGACGAGAAUCUUGCUUCUCUGAUGUUAGCGGCGGACGGGUGAGUAACAGGUGGAUAACCUACCUAUAAGACUGGGAUAACGUCGGGAAACCGGAGCUAAUACCGGAUAAUAUUUUGAACCGCAUGGUUCAAAAGUGAAAGACGGUCUUGCUGUCACUUAUAGAUGGAUCCGCGCUGCAGUAGCUAGUUGGUAAGGUAACGGCCUACCAAGGCAACGAUGCAUAGCCGACCUGAGAGGGUGGUCCGCCACACUGGAACUGGGGCACGGUCCAGACUCCCACGGGAGGCAGCAGUAGGGAAUCUUCCGCAAUGGGCGAAAGCCUGACGGAGCCACGCCGCGUGAGUGAUGAAGGUCUUCGGAUCGUAAAACUCUGUUAUUAGGGAAGAACAUAUGUGUAAGUAACUGUGCACAUCUUGACGGUACCUAAUCAGAAAGCCACGGCUAACUACGUG
rnacentral:rRNA from 1 species